UACGUAGGGGCUAGCGUUGUUCGGAUUUACUGGGCGUAAAGGGCGCGUAGGCGGCCACCGCAAGUCGACUGUGAAAUCUCCGGGCUUAACCCGGAAAGGUCAGCCGAUACUGCGGGGCUAGAGUGCAGAAGGGGCAACUGGAAUUCUCGGUGUAGCGGUGAAAUGCGUAGAUAUCGAGAGGAACACCUGCGGCGAAGGCGGGUAGCUGGGCCGACACUGACGCUGAUGCGCGAAAGCCAGGGGAGGCGAACGGG
rnacentral:rRNA from 1 species